rnacentral:rRNA from 1 species
GAUGAACGCUGGCGGCGUGCCUAAUACAUGCAAGUCGAGCGAACAGACGAGGAGCUUGCUCCCCUGACGUUAGCGGCGGACGGGUGAGUAACACGUGGAUAACCUACCUAUAAGACUGGGAUAACUUCGGGAAACCGGAUCUAAUACCGGAUAAUAUAUUGUACCGCAUGGUUCAAUAGUGAAAGACGGUUUUGCUGUCACUUAUAGAUGGAUCCGCGCCGCAUUAGCUAGUUGGUAAGGUAACGGCUUACCAAGGCAACGAUGCGUAGCCGACCUGAGAGGGUGAUCGGCCACACUGGAACUGAGACACGGUCCAGACUCCUACGGGAGGCAGCAGUAGGGAAUCUUCCGCAAUGGGCGAAAGCCUGACGGAGCAACGCCGCGUGAGUGAUGAAGGUCUUCGGAUCGUAAAACUCUGUUAUUAGGGAAGAACAAAUGUGUAAGUAACUAUGCACGUCUUGACGGUACCUAAUCAGAAAGCCACGGCUAACUACGUG